rnacentral:rRNA from 1 species
CAAACCGAAGAUGGCGACCGGCGCACGGGUGAGUAACACGUAUCCAACCUGCCGAUAACUCCGGAAUAGCCUUUCGAAAGAAAGAUUAAUACCGGAUGGCAUACGAAUAUCGCAUGAUAUUUUUAUUAAAGAAUUUCGGUUAUCGAUGGGGAUGCGUUCCAUUAGGCAGUUGGUGGGGUAACGGCCCACCAAACCUUCGAUGGAUAGGGGUUCUGAGAGGAAGGUCCCCCACAUUGGAACUGAGACACGGUCCAAACUCCUACGGGAGGCAGCAUG